UCCUGGUUGGCUCAGUCGGUUGAGCUUCCGACUUCGGCUCAGGUCAUGAUCUCAUGGUUUGUGAGUUCGAGCCCCACAUCAGGCU
rnacentral:tRNA from 1 species